rnacentral:rRNA from 1 species
AACGAACGCUGGCGGCAGGCCUAACACAUGCAAGUCGAGCGAGCAUUUCGGUGCUAGCGGCGGACGGGUGAGUAACGCGUGGGAACGUGCCCUUUUCUGCGGAAUAGUCCUGGGAAACUGGGGGUAAUAUCGCAUACGCCCUGUUGGGGAAAGAUUUAUCGGAGAAGGAUCGGCCCGCGUUGGUUGAGGUAGUUGGUGGGGUAAUGGCCCACCAAGCCGACGAUCCAUAGCUGGGUUGAGAGGAUGAUCAGCCACACUGGGACUGAGACACGGCCCAGACUCCUACGGGAGGCAGCAGUGGGGAAUCUUAGACAAUGGGGGCAACGCUGAUCUAGCCAUGCCGCGUGAGUGAUGAAGUCCUUAGGGUUGUAAAGCUCUUUCAGCUGGGAAGAUAAUGACGGUACCAGCAGAAGAAGCCCCGGCUAACUCCGUG